GAGCACGCCGCGUGAGUGAUGAAGGUUUUCGGAUCGUAAAGCUCUGUUGUUAGGGAAGAACAAGUGCCGUUCAAAUAGGGCGGCACCUUGACGGUACCUAACCAGAAAGCCACGGCUAACUACGUGCCAGCAGCCGCGGUAAUACGUAGGUGGCAAGCGUUGUCCGGAAUUAUUGGGCGUAAAGGGCUCGCAGGCGGUUUCUUAAGUCUGAUGUGAAAGCCCCCGGCUCAACCGGGGAGGGUCAUUGGAAACUGGGGAACUUGAGUGCAGAAGAGGAGAGUGGAAUUCCACGUGUAGCGGUGAAAUGCGUAGAGAUGUGGAGGAACACCAGUGGCGAAGGCGACUCUCUGGUCUGUAACUGACGCUGAGGAGCGAAAGCGUGGGGAGCGAACAGGAUUAGAUACCCUGGUAGUCCACGCCGUAAACGAUGAGUGCUAAGUGUUAGGGGGUUUCCGCCCCUUAGUGCUGCAGCUAACGCAUUAAGCACUCCGCCCUGGGGAGA
rnacentral:rRNA from 1 species